GACGAACGCUGGCGGCGUGCUUAACACAUGCAAGUCGAACGGAAAGGCCCUGCUUUUGUGGGGUGCUCGAGUGGCGAACGGGUGAGUAACACGUGAGUAACCUGCCCUUGACUUUGGGAUAACUUCAGGAAACUGUGGCUAAUACCGGAUAGGAGCUCCUGCUGCAUGGUGGGGGUUGGAAAGUUUCGGCGGUUGGGGAUGGACUCGCGGCUUAUCAGCUUGUUGGUGGGGUAGUGGCUUACCAAGGCUUUGACGGGUAGCCGGCCUGAGAGGGUGACCGGCCACAUUGGGACUGAGAUACGGCCCAGACUCCUACGGGAGGCAGCAGUGGGGAAUAGUGCAAAAUGGGCGGAAGCCUGAUGCAGCAACGCCGCGUGCGGGAUGACGGCUUUCGGGUUGUAAACCGCUUUCGCCUGUGACGAAGCGUGAGUGACGGUAAUGGGUAAAGAAGCACCGGCUAACUACGUG
rnacentral:rRNA from 1 species